rnacentral:rRNA from 1 species
AAAAGAAACCAACAGGGAUUGCCCUAGUAACGGCGAGUGAAGCGGCAACAGCUCAAAUUUGAAAUCUGGCCCUUUCAGGGUCCGAGUUGUAAUUUGUAGAGGAUGCUUUUGGGCAGCCACCGGUCUAAGUUCCUUGGAACAGGACGUCAUAGAGGGUGAGAAUCCCGUAUGUGACUGGACAGGCACCCUUUGUAAAGCUCCUUCGACGAGUCGAGUUGUUUGGGAAUGCAGCUCUAAAUGGGAGGUAAAUUUCUUCUAAAGCUAAAUACCGGCCAGAGACCGAUAGCGCACAAGUAGAGUGAUCGAAAGAUGAAAAGCACUUUGGAAAGAGAGUUAAAAAGCACGUGAAAUUGUUGAAAGGGAAGGGCUUGCAAUUAGACUUGCCCGCAGUUGUUCAGCUGGUCUUCUGACCGGUUUAUUCUUCUGCGGGCAGGCCAGCAUCAGUUUCGGCGGCCGGAUAAAGGCUCUGGGAAUGUGGCUGUCCUUCGGGGCAGUGUUAUAGCCCAGGGUGUAAUACGGCCAGCCGGGACUGAGGUCCGCGCUUCGGCUAGGAUGCUGGCGUAAUGAUUGUAAGCCGCCCGUCUUGAAACACGGACCAAGGAGUCUAACAUCUAUGCGAGUGUUAGGGUGUCAAACCCUUACGCGUAAUGAAAGUGAACGGAGGUGGGAACCCGCAAGGGUGCACCAUCGACCGAUCCUGAUGUCUUCGGAUGGAUUUGAGUAAGAGCAUAGCUGUUGGGACCCGAAAGAUGGUGAACUAUGCCUGAAUAGGGUGAAGCCAGAGGAAACUCUGGUGGAGGCUCGCAGCGGUUCUGACGUGCAAAUCGAU